rnacentral:rRNA from 1 species
GACGAACGCUGGCGGCGUGCUUAACACAUGCAAGUCGAACGGAAAGGCCCUGCUUGCAGGGUAUUCGAGUGGCGAACGGGUGAGUAACACGUGGGUGAUCUGCCCUGCACUUCGGGAUAAGCCUGGGAAACUGGGUCUAAUACCGGAUAGGAGCCAUUUUUAGUGUGAUGGUUGGAAAGUUUUUUCGGUGUAGGAUGAGCUCGCGGCCUAUCAGCUUGUUGGUGGGGUAAUGGCCUACCAAGGCGGCGACGGGUAGCCGGCCUGAGAGGGUGGACGGCCACAUUGGGACUGAGAUACGGCCCAGACUCCUACGGGAGGCAGCAGUGGGGAAUAUUGCACAAUGGGCGCAAGCCUGAUGCGGCGACGCCGCGUGGGGGAUGACGGCCUUCGGGUUGUAAACUCCUUUCGCUAGGGACGAAGCUUUUUGUGACGGUACCUAGAUAAGAAGCACCGGCUAACUACGU